rnacentral:lncRNA from 1 species
UUAUAAGGAUUAAAAAAUUUUAAACCUACUUUAUUGAGGUUGUAAUAUUGGAUCACUUUGCAUCUAUUAGUAACUGAUAUGAAUUCGCUCCCCAAUCCAUAUCAUUUGUUCCCACUAAAAUCUCCUCUUGAAAUGUAAUCCCCAUAAUCUCCACGUGUCAUGGCGGGACCAAGUGGAGGUAAUCGAAUCACAGGGGCAGUUUCCUCUAUGUUGUUCUCAUGAUAAUGCGUGAGUCUUAUGAAUUUAUGAGGCAAAUAUUAACCAAAUACAAAAGACAAAUAAAUAUACAAUCAGAAGAAAAAAAACAACUACAGGCCAAUAACCUCAAUGAACAUAGAUUGAGGCAUUAGGCUGUUUCCCUCUUUAUAUCUAGUUUAUUAGUAAUCUCUCUCAUAACACUGGGCAUUGCACUGAAACAAAUGUAAAGAUCUUAUACAUAUUUUGAUGCUACAUAUAUUUGUGCUUAUAAAUAAAUGUUUCUCAUUUAAAUAGUACCUAUAACUUGCAGAUAAAGUAGAUUACUCCUUUUGCUUCAGUUCAUGUUUUUAUUACUAAUAAAUUAUAUCCUAUAUUUUUUCCUCAUUUUGAUAAACAUUUGUUUCACUUUUGAGUGACAUAUAUUUGGUCAUUC